CUAGAUUCGAGGCGUUCGAAGGCCAUUUCGCGAGGCAAGGUUGUGUUGGAGUAGAGAUUUGCUCGGAUUAAGGUAAGUAACAGUUCUAAAUUUGGUUCUAAGGAUACGAAACCCCGUAUUAUAUGUCAUGUAUUUGGUUUUGGGGUGACGCACAUGCUAGGUGACGGGCGUGUGGGCAUGCACCGUAAGAAUUGUGACUUGGUCAAAUUCCAUGGAACUAUGUAGUUGAAUACUCUGUUGUUAUCUGUACUUUCUCCAUGUAUUAGAGAAAUUGAACAACAAAUCAGGUUAGAAAUCAUGUUUAGACUAUGUGAUAGCACUGUAGGGACCCACAGAGGUCGUGUACAUGUCGAAUUAUCUGCUAAAUUACUGUUUUGCACUCAGUCAUAGUUUUACUUGUAAAUUACAUCUCAGUCUCUAUUGUUUAUUAUUGAUGCAUUAUAUCAUUGCUUUUUGGGCUACUUAUCAUGAUUUCUGAGAGCCCGAGAGACUGGAGAGGUUGAUGACUGAGUGAGGCCGAGGGCCUGAUUGUGAGGAUAUUUAUGGGAUCGGGCUGUACGCCGCAACAUGUUUCACUGAUAUAUGCCAUGAUUGGCUUGUUAUAGCGCUUGGACUGAAAGAGCCCCUCCAGAGUCUGUACAUACCCCCAGUGAGGACUGGUACCUAUUGAGUGUGAGUGCUGAGUGAUUGAGAGGAAUGAGUGACUGUGAGGAAAGAGUGAUUCUGAGGUUGGAGUGAAUGGGAGGACUGAGUGACUGUUGCUCUGAGAGGAUGCAUUGACUUCAUUAUUUUGCAAUUCAGCUGUCAUAUAUCACUGUCUUGAAAUUUCUGAGAGAUAUUAUCUUAUGUUUUAUUUGAACUUGAAAUGAAUUUACUGUUUUGGUCUUAAUUGUCAAACUUGAAAGUAUGCCUAACUUCCUAUGUUGAAAUUAAUGUAAUUGGACUAUAACUGUGAAGGUCGUCACUUCUUUCAGUCCUUUAUUUAGUAUUGUUACUUACUGAGUUAGUUGUACUCACGCUACACCCUGCACUUCGUGUGCAGAUCCAGGUGUUUGCGGACACGGUGUGUGUUGAUUCCAUCACACAGUUGAUCUUUUGGAGAUUUCAAGGUAGUUGCCCGGCGUUUCGUAGACCUUGUCUCUCCUUUCCUAUCUUUCCGCUUAUUGUAUUU
rnacentral:lncRNA from 1 species